rfam:Oryza glumipatula chromosome 11, whole genome shotgun sequence.
UUCUAGGGCAAAUAACAUACUGGUUCUUACUCCCUCCGUUUUAUAAUUAGUAUUUUUAUUGUUAUGAGAUGAUAAAAUAUGAAUAGUACUUUAUGUGUGACUUAUGUUUUUUAAAUUUUUCAAAACAAUUUCAAAUAAGACGAACGGUCAAAGUUGUGCACGGAAAAUCAUGGCUGCACUUAAA